rnacentral:rRNA from 1 species
CCUACGGGUGGCAGCAGUGGGGGAUAUUGCACAAUGGGGGAAACCCUGAUGCAGCGACGCCGCGUGUAGGAAGACGGUCCUCUGGAUUGUAAACUACUGUUCCCAGGGACGAAGAUGACGGUACCUGGGGAGGAAGCUUCGGCUAACUACGUGCCAGCAGCCGCGGACUUACGUAGGGAGCGCGCGUUGUCCGGAAUUAUUGGGUGAAAAGGGAGCGUAGGCGGGGAUGAAAGUUGGGUGUUAAAUCUACCGGCUAAACGGGUAGUGGCACUUGAAACUGCAGCUCUUGAGUGAAGUAGAGGCAGGCGGAAUUCCUAGUGUAGCGGUGAAAUGCGUAGAUAUUAGGAGGAACACCAGUGGCGAAGGCGGCCUGCUGGGCUUUUACUGACGCUGAGGCUCGAAAGUGUGGGGAGCAAACAGGAUUAGAUACCCCUGUAGUC